rfam:Schistosoma mattheei strain Denwood, Zambia genome assembly, scaffold: SMTD_scaffold0001784
AUUCAGCCGACAAGUCCCAAAUAGGAUGAAAUGAGCAUCCUGGAU